rnacentral:rRNA from 3 species
UUUAUGGAGAGUUUGAUCCUGGCUCAGGAUGAACGCUGGCGGCGUGCCUAAUACAUGCAAGUCGAGCGAACGGACGAGAAGCUUGCUUCUCUGAUGUUAGCGGCGGACGGGUGAGUAACACGUGGAUAACCUACCUAUAAGACUGGGAUAACUUCGGGAAACCGGAGCUAAUACCGGAUAAUAUUU